rnacentral:rRNA from 1 species
UACGAAGGGGGCUAGCGUUGCUCGGAAUGACUGGGCGUAAAGGGCGCGUAGGCGGCGAUCAAGGUCAGAUGUGAAAUUCCUGGGCUUAACCUGGGGGCUGCAUUUGAUACGUGGUGGCUUGAGUGCGGAAGAGGGUCGUGGAAUUCCCAGUGUAGAGGUGAAAUUCGUAGAUAUCGAGAGGAACACCUGCGGCGAAGGCGGGUUGCUGGGCCGACACUGACACUGAGGCGCGAAAGCCAGGGGAGCGAACGGG